UGCCUAAGGUCUAGUAUUACCCUUAGGUAACCUCUGUAUUUUGUAGCA
rnacentral:sRNA from 12 species